UAAUUUUUAUUUUUAAUUAGAUAUAGGAUGAUAACAUUUUGGUUUUAUUCUUGUGGUGUAUAACUUAUAAGGAUGUUUUAACUAUCCUUUUGCUUUUCAUUAUAUUACUUUCCUAUAUGGCCUUCUCAUCAUGUUUGUACAUUGCGAUCAUAUUUUUCCACUCAUUGAUAUUUUUUUCUCUAAUUCCAGUGCAGAAAACAUAAAGAUCUUUAUCUAUGUAUGGCAAAGUGCCCUAGUGGGCCAUCUGUGAAGUUUUUAGUUAAUGCCAUGCAUACAAUGGAAGAAUUGAAGCUUACAGGGAACCAUCUGAAAGGUUCCCGUCCAAUUUUGACAUUUUCAUCAAAUUUUGAUAAAGAUGUCCACUAGAAACUUCUGAAGGAAAUGAUUAUUCAGAUUUUUGGAACUCCUAAGGAGCAUCGACAUUCUAAACCGUACCAUGAUCAUGUAUUUGUUUUCUCUAUUGUUGAUGACCAUAUCUGGUUCCGGAAUUACCAGGUAUGCUUUAUUUAUUUCCUACUUGCUACAGAAUUUAAUACUAACCAUGAUCAUGCUUUAUUUAUAACCAUCACUCCGUUAGCAACACCACCUGAGGAACAAUGCGUGUUUUUAGUGAAGUACGUUAAGGUAUAUAUGGAUAAAUGUCAGAAGUGUCGUUCUUAAGAUAUGAGGCAUACAAUCGUCAUUAGGAAAGGAAUUUGGCAUGGCAAAAAAUUAAUUGAUUUGAAGAGUUUGAGAU